rnacentral:rRNA from 1 species
GCGCACCCUGAUGGAGCACACCGCGUGAGUGAAGAAGGGUUUCGGCUCGUAAAGCUCUGUUGUUAAAGAAGAACACGUAUGAGAUUAACUGUUCAUACGUUGACGGUAUUUAACCAGAAAGUCACGGCUAACUACGUGCCAGCAGCCGCGGUAAUA